CAGUGAUUGAGCACCUGGUGGGAAGGCAGGGCUGACCCAGAGGAGCUCAGGUGAAUGCAGUGCACCUGAGUGACCAGCAGGAGUGGAGCCAGGAUCCAACCCUGCUCAGACCUCAUUUAAGGGUUGGCAGUGGAGGUACCUCUUACUGGAGCUCCCUGCAUACCUGAGGCCUUCUAAGGGUGGAGUUGUUCCACAACAUGUCCUGCUGAUCAGCUUGUCUUGAAGGAAAGGACUUCUUUGUUCCUGAGACUUGCACACCUUUCCAGGAAACUCAUUAUGUUCUGGGUCAGUCCCAGUAAUGGGUGUUUCAUUCCAAUCAGCAUCAGAAGGAAAAUCUAGCCUUCCAGGGUUGCAUCAAAACGAAGCUGAGCACUAAGGCUUGACCUGACACGUGCAAAGACCAGACUGUCCAGAACAAAUCCUUUCUCAAAAUCAAGAUCAGGAUGCCAGACCACUGUAUUCAUCUCCAAACCACAAACGCCCCUCAGUGGGGUCCCCUCGUGCAGUGCUAGGAUGGGACCUGGGCACACCACCAGCCCUUGGCCAUCCCAUGCUUUCUGCCAUGAUAUCUGCCUUCCUCCACCUGCCUGGGCCGUCCCCAUCCAGUGCUUCUUGAUCCCUUCUCCAGUAGGGACGCAACCCAAGGGAUAGGGCUGGUGUUGAACUUCAGCUCCGUGCAGGCUGGCAGCAGGCCUGAAGAUCAGCCACCCUGGAGGAACGUGAGUUGGCUCAACGUGGCAUCUUAUCAUUCAGAGGCAGCCCGGGGAGCAGCUGGUGGGGACAGCACUUUGGCAGCAGGAAAAUGUCCAGCUGUGACCUUGCUGGGGAGUCACAUCUCUAUGGCCCAGCUUUACAAGGAUGGGGAGAGAGGAACAUCAAUUACUGAAAUCCAGCCUGCCUUGUAGUGAAAAUCAGGAUGAAGUGCAAAGCUCAGUGUCUGAUGGGGCUGCGAACCUGUGUUUGGCACCUUGGGAGGAACCUGAGGACCAGCUGUAGGUACCUGCUUGUCCUAAGAAAAGCCUUCCUACAUGGUACAGGUUCAGCCGUGUAUGUUUCUCUGGACUGGAUAUAUCACAGGGACUGCAAUUGUCGUAUGAGUGUGCUCUAUGUGAAGGUGGGUUGAUCACCACGGCCUGGCUCUUGGCUCUCCUGGGAUUUCUUUCUUUUAGAUGAUUACAGAAGCUCUGUGACCACAAGUCGCUGUAUAAGCAGCUUUGUCCUCUCCUAGCUGGGUUUAUGCAUAAUCUCACUCCAUUAGAAAUGAGCUCUCAGUAUUAAUACAUUCUGUCUGCAAGGGUGAUCUGUCCAAAACUGAUGGCCAUUCCUGGUGUAAGCCUAAGCAUGGUGUGAGUCUUCAUGAUAUUUGAGUAGCUGGGAUAUGUCAUUCAGUUUCUGAGGUGAUUUUUUUUUACUUGCUAGCAAGGGAAAAAUGACUACUGGUAAAAGAGUAAUCAAGUCUUUACGUAACUGAGUUUGAGUAGUGCAUGAACACUUACCUUGCUGGAUGUAAGGCUUAGAGACUGAGCAUGUGUGGUGUUUGGCUGAUGCUGCUGUAAUAAGGGCAUCCCGAGCACGCUCCUGUAUUAGAUGAGGGUCUUGGGACCCUAAGAGACGGAAUCAGAUCCUUUUAAUCUUGGGAUGAUGACCUCAAUUGCAAAGGUAUUACCUGUCAUCUUAUCCCAAGAGCAACCCGGCUCCUCUUAGCAUUUCACAAUGGAAGCUCAGCCAUGCUGAAUAUAAGUUGAAAAGAAAACAGGUGAUUAAAAAGUGUUGGUUCGUUUUUCAAGGCUCGCAGGAGCGCCAGCACUGCCUGUGGGAGACAGCUGGGGAAUUCAAGAAUCACUGUGUUCAUAAGGCAUUGUUAUCAUAUUGAAGUCUAACUUUCGUCGGUCUGUGAUGAUAAAGUUUUGAAGAUGAAAGAUUGGCCUGUAGAAAUUACAUUACAGAACAGCUAUUAAAUAUUAAUCCUCGGGUACCGGAGAGAUUUUUUUGGGAUUAAAAUUUAUGAUCCAGGAGCGUAUCCGUGCUCCCUUCACAUAAAAGCACCGAUUGUCUUGCGAAAUGCAACCCCAUUCGGGCAGAGAAAACAAGCCAG
ensembl:lncRNA